rnacentral:rRNA from 1 species
GACGAACGCUGGCGGCGUGCUUAACACAUGCAAGUCGAACGGAAAGGCCCUGCUUUUGUGGGGUGCUCGAGUGGCGAACGGGUGAGGAAUACAUCGGAAUCUACUUUUUCGUGGGGGAUAACGUAGGGAAACUUACGCUAAUACCGCAUACGACCUACGGGUGAAAGCAGGGGAUCUUCGGACCUUGCGCGAUUGAAUGAGCCGAUGUCGGAUUAGCUAGUUGGCGGGGUAAAGGCCCACCAAGGCGACGAUCCGUAGCUGGUCUGAGAGGAUGAUCAGCCACACUGGAACUGAGACACGGUCCAGACUCCUACGGGAGGCAGCAGUGGGGAAUAUUGGACAAUGGGCGCAAGCCUGAUCCAGCCAUACCGCGUGGGUGAAGAAGGCCUUCGGGUUGUAAAGCCCUUUUGUUGGGAAAGAAAAGCAGCAGGUUAAUACCCCGCUGUUCUGACGGUACCCAAAGAAUAAGCACCGGCUAACUUCGUG